rnacentral:rRNA from 1 species
UACGUAGGGGCGAGCGUUGUUCGGAAUUACUGGGCGUAAAGGGCGCGUAGGCGGCCACUGCAAGUCGGUUGUGAAAUCUCCGGGCUUAACCCGGAAAGGUCAAUCGAUACUGCAGGGCUAGAGUGCGGAAGGGGCAACUGGAAUUCUCGGUGUAGCGGUGAAAUGCGUAGAUAUCAGGAGGAACACCGGUGGCGAAGGCGGCUUCUGGACAGAUACCGACGCUGAGGCACGAAAGCUAGGGGAGCAAACAGG